rnacentral:lncRNA from 1 species
CAGGGCUAAACUUAGAGGGAAGCUGUCAUCACCCUAGGGCCUGAGGAGGAAGGGGAGAAAAUACUGUUUGGGGGGCCUGGUGGGAGCUGUAGCUGGGAGGAGGACCAUGAGGGAGAAACCAUAGUCAUGGAAGGAUGUUGUCACUGCCAGGACCAAGACACCAAGGAGCAUACUCUUCUGGGCAGAGCAUCCUCCUAGGACUCUGGAGAGAUGGAGCAUCCGCACUGUGUGCUAGGCACUGAGUUAGAGUUGAAGACCCUCAAGAAUUCCACUGACAACUGAAUCAUCAAAGGGAACCGAGCCCUGCCCAAGGACAUACAGUUGUUUUCCUCUUCCUUGUCCUUUGGAGAAGCACAGCUGAAGCUUCCUGCCCACACCCCAGCCCCUCCUCCUUGAGCAUGAAUGUGCAGACCACCCACCGCCCCAUGCUUGUAUCUACAACAGCUAUGAGGAAGAACAUACAGAUUAAUCACCCUGCUGCGGGAUGCCAGCUACCCAGUGGCUCUGGCAGCCCCAGUCAAUGGAUCCUGCAGUGUAGCCUUCAUCAGUAGAGCUGCCACUGCCAGCACCCAAAAGGUAGCACUAAUAUGCAUGUGUGACCUGAAAAUUACAAUGUAAAUGGUGGGGCAACACAUGUAUAGGAAGGUAAAUUUUAAUUAAAAGUCUGUUCUCCAACUCAGUGAACAGAAGAAAUCCCUCCAAGCACUGUGGCCCUGCGCAGGCCAGAGGCUCUGGUGGCGAUUGGAUGUGGGAACACAGUCUGGGUGGAGAGGAGAUUUCAGGAGAGAAGAGGAAACGGCGCCAUCUCCUUCAUUUCA